rnacentral:rRNA from 1 species
UACGUAGGGUGCAAGCGUUGUCCGGAAUUAUUGGGCGUAAAGAGCUCGUAGGCGGUUCGUCGCGUCGGCUGUGAAAUCCCGGAGCUCAACCCCGGGUCUGCAGUCGAUACGGGCGGACUUGAGUACUGCAGGGGAGACUGGAAUUCCUGGUGUAGCGGUGAAAUGCGCAGAUAUCAGGAGGAACACCGGUGGCGAAGGCGGGUCUCUGGGCAGUAACUGACGCUGAGGAGCGAAAGCGUGGGGAGCGAACAGG